AACGAACGCUGGCGGCAUGCCUAACACAUGCAAGUCGAACUAGAUCUUCGGGUCUAGUGGCGCACGGGUGCGUAACGCGUGGGAAUCUGCCCUUUGGUUCGGAAUAACAGUUGGAAACGACUGCUAAUACCGGAUGAUGACGAAAGUCCAAAGAUUUAUCGCCAGAGGAUGAGCCCGCGUCGGAUUAGCUAGUUGGUGGGGUAAAGGCGCACCAAGGCGACGAUCCUUAGCUGGUCUGGGAGGAUGAUCAGCCACACUGGGACUGAGACACGUGCCAGACUGCUACGGGAGGCAGCAGUGGGGAAUAUUGAACAAUGGGCGAAAUCCUGAUCCAGCAAGGCGGCGUGAGUGACGAAGGCCUUAGGGUUGUAAAGCUCUUUUAGCCGGGAUGAUAAUGACAGUACCGGGAGAAUAAGCUCCGGCUAACUCCGUGCCAGCCGCCGCCGUAACAC
rnacentral:rRNA from 1 species